rnacentral:lncRNA from 1 species
UGGCGUGGCUGGGUGCCUCAACCUAGUUGAAAACCAAAUUCUCAAAAACGGCACGUUUAGCAAUAAUACAGCUAAACAUUUUAGUCAAAGAGCAAAUAAAUGUAACCACGCCAUUCUACGAUGAAAACUCUAAGUAUUCCCAGUCAAUUUUAGCAAAUAUUUCAAGCACUAAACAGUGAAAAAUACAUCACAAAUUUCGCAAAAAUUUGUGACGCCAAUUUCGUAGCUACAAAUGUAAAAAAAUACAAAACAAAGACGAAAAACAUUUACCUUGAAUACUUUGUCGUGGCUUAGGCAUGUUUUUAAAACAAUUAGACCAGUUUACGCUUCAAGAUCACCCUUUUAAAGGGGAAAAUAUAGC